CGCAGCUGUGUGUGGGUGGAGUGCUUAUCCUCAGAGCUCUUAGGUCUGUUGGUGCCGAGUCAGUGGUACACUAUUUCUUACUCCACCUUCAUCCUGAGAAACUUCAAAAAUAAUCCCUCGAGAGGAACAACUAACAAUUAUUCAAGAGCAAGGCACCACCAAGAGAAUCCUAGAACACUGUGGUGAGGUUGAAGUAACCCUCAGAUCACAGAGAUGAAGACAGAGUGCAUUAGAAGAUAUAAAGGAAAACUAAGAAUUUUCCCAGAUCAGAAGAAAAGAAAAACUGAAGGAGUUCAUUCCCCCAGAUCGGCCUUGCAAGAACUGUUGAAAGGAGUUCUUCAACCUGAAAUGAAAAGAUUCUAACCAGUGUCAUGAAAACGUGUGAAAGUAUACAACAUGCUCAUAAAGACUCCUUCACCAUCCAGAAUAUUGAUGUUUCAGGGCUCCUGUGGCUGUACUCAGGAUUAUGCACAGGUUCUAGGAAGUUCCAGUGUGGCUUCAACCACUACGAGGCAUGACUUGAGAAUAAAGAUGGCAUGAAGCCGGAAGGAAUUUUAGCGUUUUAGCAUUGGAUAAAGAGUGAGUCUGACUAUGUGUCCAAAGUUACUAGGAAAGUUUUUGGCCUUUUACGAAAAGUUUGACAAUUCCUGGUAUAAACUGUACAAGUGAAAGUCGUUCAGUUGUAUCCAACUCUUUGCAACCCCAAAGACUGUAGCCCACCAGGCUCCUCCGUCCAUGGACUUUUCCAGGCAGCAAAGGCUGGCACUAACAUAAGAGGAUACUUUGAACAAUUACACAUGAAUAAAUUGUAAAACUGAGAAGAAAUGGAUAAGUUCCUAGAUGCAUACAAGAUACUAAAGACUAGACAAGGAAGAAAUGGAAUAUCGGAACAGAUAAAUAAUGAGUAAAGUUAGAUUAAGUUUAGAUUAAAAGAAUAAUGAAACACCUCCCAACACAGAAAACCCUGGGACCAAAUGGCUUCACAGGUGAAUUCUACCAAACAUUUAAGGAAUAAUCAAUGUCAAUUCUUCUCAAACUCUUCCAAAAAAACUGAAAAGGACACAAUACUUUCAAACUCAUUUGACAAGGCCAGUGUCACCCUGAUACCAAAGCCAAAUAAAGACACAAUAAGAAAACUACAAGCCAAUAUUCCUAAAGAAUAUCAAUAUAAAAACUCUCAAAACAAAAGUAGAAACUGAAUUCAAAAGCAUAUUAAAAGAAUUAUAUAUAUUAAUCAUUUGGUAUUUAUCCCUGGCAUGCAAGAAUGAUUCAACAUGUGCAAAUCAAUAAAUGUGAUAUACCACUUGAAUAGAAUAGAAGAUGAAUUUUAUAUGAUCCUCUCAAUAGAUGCAGAAAAAGAUUUUGACAAAAUUCUUUCAAACAUUCUUUGAGGAAUAAAAACCCUCAACAAAUUAAGCAUAGAAGGAACAUACCUCAACAUAAUAAAAGCAAUACAGGACAAACCCACAGCUAAUGUUAUACUCAAGGGUGAAAAAUUGAAAGCUUUACUUCUAAGUUCAGAAACAAGAAAAGGGUGCUCACUUUCACCACUCUUAAUAUAAUACUGGAAGUCCUUGCUAGAGUAACUAGCUUAUAUGAAGAAGUAUAAAGGAUCCAAAUCAUAAAGGAAGAAACAUAAUUGUUAUUUGUAGAUGAUAUAAUACUAAAUAUAGAAAAUCCUAAAAAUUCACUCUAAAGCUGAAUUGUUACUUUAGAAGUAAAUUUAAAAGUGAAUUUACUUUAAUUCACUUUAAAGCUGAAUCCUAAAGAUUCACUUUGAAGCUGAUUCACUUUUAAAGCUGAAGCUGAAGCAACAGUACUUGGACCACCUGAUGUGAAGAGCUGACAUUUUGGAAAAGACCCUGAUGCUGUGAAAGAUUGAAGGUAAAAAGAGAAGGGGGAAGCAGAGGAUGAGAUGG